rnacentral:lncRNA from 1 species
AAGCGUUACAUUGGAUCUGUGACCUAACGUCACACAUGGAGGACACGGUACGCAAACUCCGAUUUUCCUCUCUGUUCAGCACUGAAUCAAGAUUAAUGUAACAGUGUCGUGUGCAGAGAUUCAGACUCCUGUGGGGUUUGUGUACGUGAUUCUGUCUGUUUUACUGAAUCACACUGAUGAUCCUGACUGUGAGCAGAGCUGGUAUUCACAGGACGGGUGUCUGAUAGCAGAUCCAUCAGAUCCUCAAACACUGAUUGAUCCUGUUAUUUCUGUCUCUCCUGAUCGUCUUGUCACGUCUCAGUGUGUGAAUCUGAAUCAUGAGAUCAUCUGUCACGCUUUAAGAUUCAGACUGGAGACCGUGUUCAGAGGUGAGAGAAACAGUGUGUGUCCUGAUUGAGAUUAGUGAUCGACCGAUAUUGAUUUUUCUAUAACCAAUACCAAUUAAUUGCAUGUCUAUGUCACGGUUCGUGAAUGCACCGUCUCCAGCUGUAGUCAUGUUACGUCAUGUUGAUUGUUUCAUGUGGGUGUGGCCGCUGAUCGUCUGAUCAGCGGCAGGUGCGGCUCAUUCUAACAGACUAUAUAACGCCCUGUCUUUCGUCUCCUGUUUGUCUGAUCGUUG